CCCAGAUUUCAUAUUGUUCAAACACACAUGCUCUACAAUUUUGUGCAGUUAACGCAAUUAUCACGUGGUCCUGAGGCUACAUACAUCCUCCUCGGUUUACAAGAUGACAGGAUUAAGAGAUUAAAGUGAAGACAGGCCUAGGAAAUCACAAGGGUAUUGAUUGGGGAAGUGAUAAGUGUCCAUGAAAUCUUUACAAUUCAUGUUCAGAGAUUGCAGUAAAGACAGGCAUAAGAAGUUAUAAAAGUAUUAAUUUGGGGAACUAAUAAAUGUCCAUGAAAUCUUCACAAUCCACGUUCUUCUGCCAUGGCUUCAGCCGGUCCCUCUGUUUGGGGUCCCUGACUUCUCGCAACACCUGGCCGUAUUGUUUUAUUUUAAAGCAUACUAAUGCUACUUGUUUGUGAUAGCUAAAAAUUAGAAACACCUAAAUGUCCAUUAGUAGGGAUUGGUUAGAUAAAUCAUGAUAGCUGCAUACAGUGGACUGCUCUGUGGCUGUAAAAGAUGACUGAAUAUGCUCUUUGUGC
rnacentral:lncRNA from 10 species